CCUGGUUAAUCCUGCCAGUAGUCAUAUGCUUGUCUCAAAGAUUAAGCCAUGUAUGUGUAAGUAUAAACUAAUUCAGAUAGUGAAACUGUGAAUGGCUCAUUAAAUCAAUUAUAGUUUGUUUGAUGGUAUCUACUACUCGGAUAACCAUAGUAAUUCUAGAGCUAAUAUGUGUGACAAACCUUGACUUCUAGAAGGGAUGCAUUUAUUAGAUAAAAGGUUGAUACAGGCUUUGCCUAUUGCUCUAAUGAUUCAUGAUAACUCAAUGGAUCACACGACCUUUAUGCUGGCAAUGCAUUGGCCCUAUCAACUUUUGAUGGUAGGAUAAUGGCCUAUUAUGGUAGAGACAGGUGACAAAAAAUUAGGGUUUGAUUCUAGAAAGGAAGCCUAAGAAAUGGCUGCCACAUCCAAGGAAAGUAGUAGUUGCAUAAAUUACCUUAUCUUGACAUAGGGAGGUAGUGAUAAUAAAUAACAAUAUUGGGCUCUAUAAGUCUAGUAAUUGGAAUGAGUACAAUCUAAAUUCGUUAACUAGGAUCCAUUAGAGGGCAAGUCUGGUGCCAGUAGUUGUGGUAAUUCCAGCUCCAAUAGCAUAUAUUUAAGUUGUUGUAGUUAAAAGUUCGUAGUUGGAACUAGGGUUGGGUCAUCUGGUCCACCUCACUGUGAGCAUUGAUCUACCCAUCCUUGCUACCAACAAUGUGCUCUUGGAUUUAAUUGGUUGUUUUGUUCCUUCAGUGCUAUUACUUUGAAGAAAUUAGAGUGCUCGAAAUAGGAGCAUGGGAUAACAUCAUAGGAUUUUGAUCCUAUUAUGUUAGCCUUCAAGAUCAAAGUAAUGAUUAAUAGGGACUAUCGGGUGCAUUCGUAUGUCAUAGUUAAAGGUGAAAUUCUUGGAUUUAUGAAAAAUGAACAACUAUGAAAGCAUUUGCCAAGGAUGUUUUCAUUAAUCAAAUAUGAAAGUUGGGGGCUCAAAGAUGAUCAGAUACCAUCCUAGUCUGAACCAUAAAUGAUGUUGACCAGGGAUCAAUGGAUGUUACUUUUAGGACUCCGCUAGCACCUUAUGAGAAAUCAAAGUCUUUGGGUUCUAAGGGGAGUAUGGUUGUAAGGCUGAAACUUAAAGGGAUUGAUAGAAUGGCACCAUCAUGAGAGAAGCCAGUGGCUUAAUUUGACUCAACACGGGGAAACUUAUAUGGUCCAAACAUAGUAAGGAUUAAUAGAUUGAGAGUUUUUUCUUGAUUCUAUGGGUGGUGGUGCGUGGUUAUUCUUAGCUAGUGGAGUAAUUUGUCAAGUUAAUUUCGUUAAUGAAUGAGACUUUAACCUGCUAACUAGCUACAUAAAGGUGAUCCUUCAUGGCUAGCUUCUUAAAAGGAUUAUGGCCUCUUAGACUAGAGAAGUUUGAGGCAAUAAUAAGCCUGUAAUGCCCUUAGAUGUUAUGGGCCACACGCGUGCUACAUUGAUGCAUUCAAUGAGUCUAUGCCUUGGCUGAUAGGCCCAGUUAAUCUUUGAAAUUUCAUUAUGAUAGGGAUAGAUCAUUGCAAUUGUUGGUCUUCAAUGAGGAAUUCCUAGUAAGUGUGAGUCAUCAGCUCAUAUUCACUAUGUCCUUGCCUUUUGUACGAUCACUCAUCGCUCCUACCAAUUGAAUGGUUUCAUGAAAUGUUCGGAUCAUGGCAACAUGGAUGUUCAUUGCCUGUGACAUCACGAGAAGUCCAUUGGACCUUAUCAUUUAGAGGAAGGAGAAGUCGUAACAUGGUUUUUGUAGGUGAAUCGAUGGAAG
rnacentral:rRNA from 1 species